CCCUUGAUGGUCUGUCCCUCUGGUACAUGGACUGCUAAACCCAGGUCUGAUAUCCUGAUGUGGCCUAAAGACACAACACAAACACAUGAAGGUCUGUAAGAUAGAAGAAAAGUCAGUCAGCAGUGGAUGGAUUCAUGAGGACUGCAAACAGAGCUGAUAAUGAACACCAGCACCAAUGAACUGGUCCCUGCUGGUACCAACGCUCUCAUGUCAUCUCCCGCUGGACAGUUCGGUCAUUCAAGCAGCCCCAUAUUGACCUGCUGCCUUCCUGUUCUGAUGAAUGGAAGAGUGACGGUGAACAGGAACUAGUUUGGCUCUGGACAUGUCAUUGGUCCUGUGUUUCCCGAGUUCUGACCUCCAGAGGUCCUUAAUUCUGGCCGCACUUCUGCUUUCCUUUCAUCAGCCAUUACCCAGCCCUGUUCAAUCAGCCCAUUAGUCUGUGGGUAUAUAAGUCCAUUCAGAUGGUCAGUCAAUGCUAGAGUGCAGAGACUAUGUAGAGCCGGAGUAUUUGUGUUUUGGCUUACCAUCAGUUGAGUGUUUUUUGUUCCUAUCCGCAAGAAGCUUUCAGUAAAGUCCUCAAGUGUUUGCCCUAUCUCCGUAUCACAUGUGUCUUCAUUCU